rnacentral:sRNA from 1 species
UGUGUGCACCCCAGGGUCAGCCCCGAGUUUGAAUAGCAACAGGGGUCGGUGUGUCCAUCUGAAUCUGAAAUCUAUGAGGCAGGAGCUGGGGACAGGAUGGCAGGCGAGCCCAUGGCUGCUGCUGUACAGCCUACUGAGGUGACUGUUGAAGUUGGUGAGGACCUUCACAUGCACCACAUCCGUGACCAGAAGAUGCCUGAAGCUUUGGAGUUUAACCUUUCUGCCAAUCCAGAGGCAAGCACAAUAUUCCAGGAGAACUCUCAAACAGAUGAUUUGGAAUUUAACCCUUCUGAUAAUCCAGAGGCAAGCACAAUGCUCCAGAGGAACUCUCAAACAGAUGGUGAGACAACAUUGUUUUUUCUGCCAAGAGAAAGAAUAAAAACUCUUGUUUGAUCAGGUU